AACGAACGCUGGUGGCAGGCUUAACACAUGCAAGUCGAACGGAUCCUUCGGGAUUAGUGGCGCACGGGUGAGUAACACGUGGGAACGUACCCCUUGGUAAGGAAUAAUAUUUGGAAACGAAUACUAAUAACUUAUAAUAUCUUCGGAUCAAAGAUUUAUCGACAAGGGAUCGGCCCGCGUCUGAUUAGGUAGUUGGUGGGGUAAUGGCCUACCAAGCCUACGAUCAGUAGCUGGUCUGAGAGGAUGAUCAGCCACACUGGGACUGAGACACGGCCCAGACUCCUGCGGGAGGCAGCAGUGAGGAAUAUUGGACAAUGGGGGAAACCAUGAUCCAGCCGUGCCGCGUGAGUGAAGAAGGCCUUAGGGUUGUAAAGCUCUUUCAAUAGUGAAGAUAAUGACGGUAGCUAUAGAAGAAGCCCCGGCCAAAUUCGUGCCAGCCGCCGCCGUAA
rnacentral:rRNA from 1 species